rnacentral:lncRNA from 1 species
GACCUGCAGGGGGAGGAGUGAAGCUCAUUAGCUGCAAACUUGUGGGGGAUCAAUCAAGAAAACAUCACCCACCAACAGAAAGGGAGCAGGUGAUUUUCCCCAUAUUACCACAACCACAUUCCCUAGUAAAUUAAACUUAAAACAAUCUAUCACCAGUGUGUAGUUUUCCCUAGCACCUUAGUUCAGUUUUUAAUAGGAAAGAAGGAGCAGCAGCAUCAGCAGAUAAAAUGGAGGAGUAAAGAAUAGGAGCACUUACCUAGGGGAUGGUUGCACGGUGAUGUCGAGCACUAUGGGGCACUGGUCAGGGCAUCUGGGCUUAGAGUUCCAUGCGUGACUCCAUUCUAGCCAUGGGAGUCCACUUCUUUGAGCUGUGGGUUGGAGAGCUCAAGGAGGAGGAUUAGGAGGGCAGGUCUUGUUGGUAGCCUGGGCAUUGAGGGCGCCGAGAGCAACAUGGUGGCAGCAGCAACAGUACUAGAGUGGGGAUUUGAGGGAGAAGAUAGCCACUGCUAGCAGCAAAUGCAGGAAGGAAGAAGGGGAUUAGCUAGCUGAUGCUUUUACCUGUACGAGUCAUAAAAGGGGAGAGAAGGGGAGAGGUCUGUACAGUACAGGUGAGAACAGAGGAGAAAAGGAAAGGUGGACUAAUUGCUAGAUACACAUUAGUAGGCUACACAGAACACCAACUUGAGCAUAGGGACCCAAUAAUCUGCAGUCCAAGUAUACUUUAGAUAAAUUAUCUAGCACAUCGCAAUUGGAGUUUUGGUAUAAUAAAAAGGUUACAAAUUUGUAAGCACAUUUGUAAUUGUAAAUUAUUGUAUUUAUAUUCGUAUAGUUUAAUUAAAUCUUGACGCGUUUGACAGAAUGCAGGAAGGGAACUAGGGGCGGAGUCGGGUUAGUGGGGAGUGCCAGCUAGUUUCGAUUUGAACUACGAGGAUUCAGGCAAGCGAACCUUUGAUCAUGAUGAUUUGAAUUAUUUUGCGUACCUUAUUUUUCUUCAUGAUACUGUCGCCUUGCAUAAAAUGGAUUUAACAAAAUAUAAGCCGGAAUAUAUAUAGGGAGAAUGAUAGAUGCUGGGAGGGGACAGUUGGAGCAACUGACCUUCCAAUACUUACUAAGUUACUAGAAGGGUAGGGGGUGCCCAUGGAUGGAGAUUGACUGGAAGCGGGACCCUUUACAUAUGACUAUAAUAUAAGGACUAAAAAUCACUCUCACUUGUAUACGUGUGCCAUAUAAAAAUCGUGUCAACCAUAUCCUUGUCGCAAGGCGAGCAACGCUUUGUAUCUUAUCAAGUUGUUACACUCCGCAUGGUGCGUAAUGAUAGAUAGUGGUAAGAUGGGAGAUGAUAUAAACCCCAUAGAACGUUAGUACUCGGAUGGGAGAUGAUAUAAACCCCAUCAAGAUAGUAACAUGUGGUGGAGCGGAGUGUAAUGUGCUGAAAUAAGAGAAGUGUGUUGUACUCUAAAUAUUACAAAUACGCGACUUGUAAUAUAUAGAGUGAAUAUGGGUACAGUGAUACAAGCCUGCGCAGUGCUCAACUAAAUCGUGAUUCACGCCUAUCUCUUGGAUUAGAGGCUACGGGAGCCUAUUGCGGUUCUUUCUCACUAUACAAGUGAUUAGUAGUUUUUCUUAUAAAUUAAAUAUGGACUUCUCUUACAAGAAUCAUUUUUAAAAAGGAAUUAUAAUUGAGAAUUGAUGACUUGAUAUGAUUUAUGAAAUUGCAUGUCAUAUAUCCUUGCUAUUAAUAUUGCUUGCUGAGUACUUGUACUCACCCUUGCUAUUAACCCUCUUUGUUUAGAUGCAAACAUUUCUGGGCAAGCCAGUGAGUUAAGUGGUGGGUUGGAGGAUCAGUACUAUGCCCCUUGGUGUGCUGAAAAUCAAGGGGAUGUUGUUUAUGACUAUGACAUGUAUUAUGGAGGAUGGGAUGAGUAGAUGUAUGCAGGGGAGUGGUCUAGUAGCUUUGUUAGUGAACCUGGAAUAUUGGAGCACCUAGUGACCAAAGUAUUGCUAGCUCCUGCUUGAAACUUGUAUUAUUAAUGGGUGAACGUGUAAGGCCCUGUUUCAGACUUUAGCCCUGCGUGACAUGGUAUUGUAAUGUUAUCUGAACCUUCUAGCUAUUAUUCUGUUGCUAUCUCUGAUGUGGAUCAUUAUUCGCUAGAG